rnacentral:lncRNA from 1 species
UCUGAUCAUAUCAGAUAAGAAUCCCCACAAUCUCUCCUACUGUUGGUGCCAACACUGGAUAAGCACAGUGAGAUUGGUGCCCCACAGUCCAAGUUGAUCAAGGGAUCAGAGUCCUCAUCUCAUGGGACUCUAUCCUUAUCCACUUGGGGCGCACGCCAUAUCUGGUUAUGGCACCCACUUUGAGGGUAAAAUUAGCAGGUGGACACUCCAUAAAA